ensembl:lncRNA
GUCAGGGUGAGGGAGCAGAUGUUCCACUGGGGGGGGGUCAUCUCGUCCUUUUCAGACGGCUCUGUGAUGUUCUGUGGACGUUGAGAUGUUUGAAUUACUCAAGACUUCCUGCAGGAGAAUCCAGCCCAGAUAAAACACAACCCAGAGGAAUAUGUUUUGCUCGUGCUCUCGUUACGAUUCGAGUUCUGAGUCAUUUGAUGUCGUUUUGAAGAUAAUUUCUGACGUUGUCUUUUGGCAUCACAAAAGACACGUUUCGGUGGGAGAGAAACUGUCAAACCGGAUAAACUUUUACAGACAACUGUGCUCAGCUCUGACUAUAAUCCAUAUAGACAGCUGUGUGCCCAACCGCGUGUCCACGGCCUGCCAACGUCGGGACACAAUCACACCUUUUUUUUAAAUGUCCAUUUGUACCUCCUACGAGCAGCGUUCAUUUACCUAGACCAAGUGUUUCUCCUCAGCUAUGGUUGUUGCCAACGUGUGUCCAACGAGCCACCGGUGGUCCCUGCUGUAACUCCUGACCACAAAACUCCUUGGGAUAAUGUCAUUCCUUUUGCAAAAUUAACUUUGAAGUCAUAAUUCAACCUCACAUCUGUCACUUAUCUCACUGCCAUACGUUGUCGCUAUCUAAAUCCUCAUGUCGCCGUGUUGUUUACAUAGCAAUCACGCGAUAAUCGCAGGACCAGCCUGCGCACACCGGCUCAUGGGGUUCGUUGUUGUGGCCAUUUUCCACAAGACAGAGGCUGUGUUGACUCUGGCUUUAUUGCUUGGCCUCUACGUCACACGCUCCACUUGUUGUUCUGACAGGAACGUCAAAUGUCUUUCGGUUCCCUUCGGGAACGCUGUCAAUAAAGUGGGCGGUUGAUGAGCUAUGCUGUGAUGAGAGAGAGGAACAAUUGUAGCGUGAACUGUAGUCAGUGGAUUACACAACAAUCAUGUACGUUUGUUACAACACAAGGUAUUACGGGAGUGCCUUCCACCUCCCAACACUCGGUUUUCAUCUGACCUCAGACCUCCCACAUUUACGUUCCUUGUUCUCCUCACAGAGGCGUCUGUGGGUUACCUCAGCUUACAGGAGCAGUGAACUAAUGAGGGUUCAACAGGGUUCUGCAGCGGAGAGACUCAGACCGGGUGGACGGCGAGUCAGGGCUGAUCAUUGCCCGGGUCUAAUCCCAAGAGACGCCAGCCGUUAAACGUUUGCAGAAGCCUCCCUCAGUACACCACCUUCCUGGUGAAUGAGUCGCCAGACGGCCGCGGCUGCUGGACAGACAACAGACGUGUGGGAUAAGCAGCUGUUGGAAAUCCUGUUUUGUAUAAAAAAACAUGAGCCACAUCUGAAGACAGACACAUAAUAAACAGCAGCCUCAUCACAGGCAUUUCUCUCUGUGUCUUUCUCUCCUUUCUUAAAUAUUUGCUCUUUGCAUUUUCCUUUUGCACUGAAUUGUUAUAAAUAGCCCAACAAUAGAUAAUGUGUGUGUGGGUGUUGGCUUGUGUAAGCAGCCUCACCUGGCCCAAGGCAGACUGAUUAGACUAGACUAGACUAGCUGGGUGAGGCUGCACACCUGUUGCCCAUUGAGCAAUCAUGGUUAAACCCGCCAUCACCGCACGCACACGCAGGGAGAUCUCCUGCAUGGCAGCACAUUACCCUGCUGCUGGGUAACGUUAUACUCUGCAAUGAACUGCUCCAACAGCACCCCCGUGCGGCCUGGUUUGGAGGAGUCCGUAAAAGCCCCCUAGGUUGAGGGUAGCAUGUACAUUGCUACAGUCUUAAGAUAAUACGUAUAUUUGAGUACCUAGAAAAGCGC